rnacentral:rRNA from 1 species
UAUUGUACCCUGUUGCUUCGGCGGGCCCGCCGCUUGUCGGCCGCCGGGGGGGCGCCUCUGCCCCCCGGGCCCGUGCCCGCCGGAGACCCCAACACGAACACUGUCUGAAAGCGUGCAGUCUGAGUUGAUUGAAUGCAAUCAGUUAAAACUUUCAACAAUGGAUCUCUUGGUUCCGGCAUCGAUGAAGAACGCAGCGAAAUGCGAUAACUAAUGUGAAUUGCAGAAUUCAGUGAAUCAUCGAGUCUUUGAACGCACAUUGCGCCCCCUGGUAUUCCGGGGGGCAUGCCUGUCCGAGCGUCAUUGCUGCCCUCAAGCCCGGCUUGUGUGUUGGGUCGCCGUCCCCCUCUCCGGGGGGACGGGCCCGAAAGGCAGCGGCGGCACCGCGUCCGAUCCUCGAGCGUAUGGGGCUUUGUCACAUGCUCUGUAGGAUUGGCCGGCGCCUGCCGACGUUUUCCAACCAUUCUUUCCAGGUUGACCUCGGAUCAGGUAGGGAUACCCGCUGAACUUAAGCAUAUCAAAUAAGCGGGAGG